CCUACGGGAGGCUGCAGUGAGGAAUAUUGGUCAAUGGACGAGAGUCUGAACCAGCCAAGUAGCGUGAAGGAUGACUGCCCUAUGGGUUGUAAACUUCUUUUAUAUGGGAAUAAAAUGUUCCACGUGUGGGAUUUUGUAUGUACCAUAUGAAUAAGGAUCGGCUAACUCCGUACCAGCAGCCGCGGUAAUACGGAGGAUCCGAGCGUUAUCCGGAUUUAUUGGGUUUAAAGGGAGCGUAGGUGGAUUGUUAAGUCAGUUGUGAAAGUUUGCGGCUCAACCGUAAAAUUGCAGUUGAAACUGGCAGUCUUGAGUACAGUAGAGGUGGGCGGAAUUCGUGGUGUAGCGGUGAAAUGCUUAGAUAUCACGAAGAACUCCGAUUGCGAAGGCAGCUCACUGGACUGCAACUGACACUGAGGCCCGAAAGCGUGGGGAGCAAACAGGAUUAGAUACCCCUGUAGUC
rnacentral:rRNA from 1 species